rnacentral:rRNA from 1 species
AUUGAACGCUGGCGGCAGGCUUAACACAUGCAAGUCGAGCGAGCGGCGGACGGGUGUGUAAUGUCUGGGAAACUGCCUGAUGGAGGGGGUUAACUACUGGAAACGGUAGCUAAUACCGCAUACCAUCAGAUGUGCCCAGAUGGGAGUAGCCAGUAGGUGGGGUAAAGGCUCACCAAGGCGACGAUCCCCAGCUGGUCUGAGAGGAUGACCGGCCACACUGGAACUGAGACACGGUCCAGACUCCUACGGGAGGCAGCAGUGGGGAAUAUUCCACAAUGGGCGAAAGCCUGAUGCAGCAAUGCCGCGUGUGUGAUGAAGGCCUUCGGGUUGUAAAGCACUUUCAGCGAGGAGGCGGUACUCGAAGAGGAAGCACCGGCUAACUCCGUGCCAGCAGCCGCGGUAAUUC